rnacentral:RNase_P_RNA from 1 species
GCGAGUUGGUGGGCAGCUCACGGGCUCUUAGAAGAGCCUGAGGAAACUCCACCCUCCUCGUAGGACCGCGACGCCGUGAGGCGUAGGGGGAGACCCCUGCUCUUGGCACAGAAACGAGACGUCCGAAGGCAAAUGUCUAUGAUGUAGGGGCAACCUAUUGAGUAUGCCUUCGGUUACGUUGAAACGGCCAAUCCGCGGGGAGAAAGGGCAAAUAGGGGCCUAUGAGUCCUACGGGAGGCCCGGGUAGCCCGAAUAGUCGAAUGCUGCCUAAAACAGAAGGUGGGUUACGGCCAACACGC